UACCGAGGUCCCAAGCGUUGUUCGGAUUCACUGGGCGUAAAGGGUGCGUAGGCGGUCGGGUAAGUCUGAUGUUAAAUCUCACAGCUUAACUGUGAAACUGCAUUGGAUACUAUCCGGCUAGAGGAAUGGAGGGGAGACUGGAAUACUUGGUGUAGCAGUGAAAUGCGUAGAUAUCAAGUGGAACACCAGUGGCGAAGGCGAGUCUCUGGACAUUUCCUGACGCUGAGGCACGAAAGCCAGGGGAGCAAACGGG
rnacentral:rRNA from 1 species